rnacentral:lncRNA from 1 species
GAGGAGCUUUCCACUCCUCUGAGAGUCAUGUCGAGAGUCUGUCUUAGCCCUCGACCCCUCAGUCUUUGUAGAUCUCAUCCCAGAACCCCGAGGGAGAGGUAAUUGCUGAAGGAUUUUUGCUUCAAACAGGCUCUUGUUUGCAUCAAGUGUGGGGUGCAGCAAAGUGGACUCGGGACUGGCCGAUGUCUGGCCAGAAAUGCCAGGCAAGGGAAACAGUGACUCUAGUGGGGUCAGGAGAGGGGCAUCUGCUGGCCCAGGAGCGCAAGGCAGAGGGGUGAGUCUUUCUCAGGUCGGUAUCAGGUCCAUUCAUUUGCUUUGAUGUAAGCCUUCUUGGGCAGGAACCAUCUUCCCCUUCUCUAAUCAUCGAGGAAAGGG